AUAUCAAUAUAACCAACGACAUGGAUCAAGUAUAGGUGUGUAGCAUGGAAAUAACAUAAAGUGUGGUCUGAAAUAGAAUGUCUAUUUCCAACUGGUUCUAUUUAUUGAGAUCAGUCAUAAACCAUAAGAGUACAUAAAACUUUAAGACUGAAUAUCUGCAGAUAAAACCUUAAAGACUGAAUUGCCGAAUGUAAUGGACAAUACAUA
rnacentral:lncRNA from 1 species